AGAAAGCAGGAACUGUCUUUGAUGC
rnacentral:piRNA from 1 species